rnacentral:lncRNA from 1 species
GGACGAGGAGGACGAGGAUUUGUGCUCGGUAUAACCUGAGGUGGUUAUCGGUGGUUGUUCGUGGUGGUUUAAGGUGGUCGAAGGUGGACGAGGAGAAGGACGAGGAGGACGAGGAUUUGUGCUCGGUAUAACCUGAGGUGGUUAUCGGUGGUUGUUCGUGGUGGUUUAAGGUGGUCGAAGGUGGACGAGGAGAAGGACGAGGAGGACGAGGAUUUGUGCUCGGUAUAACCUGAGGUGGUUAUCGGUGGUUGUUCGUGGUGGUUUAAGGUGGUCGAAGGUGGACGAGGAGAAGGACGAGGAGGACGAGGAUUUGUGCUCGGUAUAACCUGAGGUGGUUAUCGGUGGUUGUUCGUGGUGGUUUAAGGUGGUCGAAGGUGGACGAGGAGAAGGACGAGGAGGACGAGGAUUU